GGAAGAGGAGGAGAAGGAGGAAAAAGAGGAGGAGGAGGAAUUCUGGCUACAGCGGCGCGCAUACGCGCGCACACACACAUACACUCUCACAUAUACAUACACACACACACUUGCUCUCACACACACACCACUGACACGCUGCUCUACCGCCUUCUUAGGGUUCUCUGCGGAAAACAAGCAAGGCAGAGAUUGGGGAAGAAGAAAAAAGAGGGAGGGGAGAUGUGGAGUGGAGGGGGAAAGAAGAGGAGGGGGAGGGGGAAAAUCAGAUCAACUCAAAAAAAAAAAAAAAAAAAAAAAAGUCUUUCUCUGAAAAGAGUAUCCAAGGAGAAGAGAGGAAAAGCCGAAGGAGAGAAAAGACCAGGGAAGGAAAGAAGGGUUCUUCUGUCUAUCUUCUGGAAACCUGGGAAGAGGAAGCGAUGAAAGGACUGGAAGGCUAGGCAGGGGGGACUGGGGUGCCGCCACUCAGCUCCGCCACUGCACCGCAGUAGAAAGCGGGGAAUUCAUGCGACCUGGGGAGAGUCCCGCGUAAUUUCAGCACCUGCCCGAUGGGACAGAUGUGGACCCAAAUAACUUUUGUAGAGCCCGGUGCAUCUGGUGCAAUUGAGUCCGUGGCUCAUGGUUAAAGGUAACGCCCGUCUUCCAAAUUCCUACCGUGUAAGUACUUUCUUAACCCAUCUCCAUCGUAGCUCUGGGGCCAAGAUCGAAGGAUUGGGAUCCUGGAAGAUUCUAGUUCACAUCCCACUUACUAGCUUCCUGUGAUUGGGGGAGUCUAUUAACUUUACAAUCUCAGUGUCCUCAUCUAUAAAAUGGACAUAAUAGCAACUAUCUCUCAAGAUUGUUGUAAGGAACAAAUGAGAUAAUUAUUGUAAAGCUCUCAGAAUCGUGCUUGUUACACAAGCUAAAUAAAUGUUAGCCAUUAUUAUUAUUUAUAUUGUCCUUCCCUGCUAUGCAGCUUAACUCACUGUUCUAUAGACAGUGCUUAGAAUAUAUAAAGGCUAUUAAAUGAAUAAAGCAUUUAUUAAGCAUUUAACUUAUGCAUAGCAUUAUUCGAAGGACUGGAAGGUCAUAGAGAAAAGUUUACAAUCCCUGCUGUCAAGGAGUUCACUUUCUAAUGCUGCCUUUCUGGUCCCUCCAAUACACUAUAAAAUACCUUUACCUUUCCAUAAUUAACCUGCUUUGAGUUUCUUUUAGCUGGUGACCUCACAAAAGCCCCAACAGUUGAAAGGAGGAAAAGUGUUUAGAGUUUUUAAAGACUAUUAAAGUUUUGACAAGUGUGUGUUCUUAGUGCUCUUGUUGUUCUGUCCAUCCAUUUCUUCCUGACCUCUUUAGGGGUUUUCUUGGGCAAAGAUACUAGAGUGGUUUGUCAUUUCCUCCCCAGUGGAUUAAGGCAGAGAGAGGUUAAGUUACUUGAUGAGGUCACUUAGAUAGUGAUUGUCUGUGGCCAGUUUGAAUUAGGUUUUCCUGACUCCAGGUCCAGCACUCUACCCACUGAGCCCUAACUGCCUGAUCAUAUUGUCUUAAUAAAGACUAUACAUGAAACCCUGUUAAAGGUGGAGAUAAUUCUCAGUACUUUUUCACCCUUUGAUUUUAGGCAUUUAAAAGCUUAAAUGGAGGACUUUCCCCUAAAAUUCUAUAGAAUCUGCAUUUAAAUAACAGUGCAUGCCAAAAAUUGUCUUGAAAGCACAGAGCAUUUUCUCCCAUCUUUUCAUUGAUUUUAUUUCAUUUAUAUGACCUUUAAGGUUUAUAAAGUGCUUUACAUGCAGUACUUUAUUUGAUCCUGAUCCAAAUUUUAUAAAUGAGUCAAUUGAGGUUAAGAGAGAUUAACUGACUUCUAGGGUCACAUGAUUUUGUAUGAGAACUCAAGCCAUCUGAUUCCAAGGCAAGCAUUAUGUUUUAUGUUAUUCCACCCCACCCCACUCCUAUUUCAUUAGAGUAGAAUGAAUUAUAAGAAAAAAUAUGGAUUUAGAGUCAGAAUAUGGAGAUCGAACUCCUGACUAUUAUCAUAGUCUACUGAUGGGUCUGUCUGCCUCCCAUCUCUCCCCUAUCUGAAACAACUUCCAUUCAGCCAUUUUCUGAAUUAAAGAAUAAAUCCAACUAUGUCACUCCCCUACUCAAAAAAACUUCCUUUGGAAGCCAAGAUAAAGUACAAAAUCUAGUUUGGGGUUCAACAUAACAAUUCACUUCACCCUACCCUCUACUUCCCCCCACACACAUACACUCACUCACUCACUCACUCUCCUAGCCUUCAUAGACCUUUCUGUCUGUUUUCUUUAAUCCAAUGACACUAAUGUCCUGGUUGUUCUUAAUAAAAUUGGCUCCAGGCACUUUCUCUGGAUGUUGAAGAUGCCUAAAAUGCUCUCUCUCCUCAUCUCCAAUUACUGGCUUCUCAGACUCUUCUUGAUCUUAUUUGGGGUUUUCUUAACAAAGAUACUGGAGUGAUUUGCCAUUUCCUUCUCCACUUAUUUAACAGAUAAGGAAAUUGAGGCAAACUCAAAUGAAUUGUCCAGAGACAUGCAGCCAGAUUUGAACUCACAAAGAUUUUUCCUGACUCCAGAUCUGACAUUUUAUUUACUUACCACCUCCCUUUUUCUUUUUCCCUCCCUCUCUUCACCCCCACCCUCCAGCUACCCUACUGGCUUUUCUGGCUUCCUUCAAGUGUCAUCAAAAUCUCAUCUUCUAUAAAAGAAGCCAAUCCCAAUUCUAAUGGCUUCCCUCUUUUUAUUAUUUUCUAUUUUUCUUUAUAUUGUUUAUUUGAAUACACUAGUUUGAAAGUUGUCUCCAUAUUAGAUUGUGAAUUCCUCCAGAGUCUUAACAAACAUCGUAACGGAUUGUUUUUU